CAGAAACCUAGGGUUGACAAACACAGAAGGAUUAUGACUGGACGAUAUAAGAUAAGGGAGACUGGAGGAGAAGAAUUUCAAUAGGAUCACAUAAUUGCCAGAAGAAAGCUUGGUUGAGUCAUCAGGAAACUGAGACAAGAAUAUGGGUAAACAGAGAUAAGUUUAGUAAAGCAAAAUGGCUUUUACUGUAUUUUUUAUUUUUAUUUUUUAUUUUAAAUGGAGUAUUGCUCUGUUGCCCAGGCUAGAGUGCAGUGGUGUAAUCUCGGUUCACUGCAGCCUCCACCUCCCAGGUUCAAA
rnacentral:lncRNA from 10 species